rnacentral:rRNA from 1 species
GACGAACGCUGGCGGCGUGCCUAAUACAUGCAAGUAGAACGCUGAAGGAGGAGCUUGCUCUUCUGGAUGAGUUGCGAACGGGUGAGUAACGCGUAGGUAACCUGCCUGUUAGCGGGGGAUAACUAUUGGAAACGAUAGCUAAUACCGCAUAACAGUAGAUGUUGCAUGACAUUUACUUAAAAGGUGCAAUUGCAUCACUACCAGAUGCACCUGCGUUGUAUUAGCUAGUUGGUGGGGUAACGGCUCACCAAGGCGACGAUACAUAGCCGACCUGUGAGGGUGAUCGGCCAGACUGGGACUGUGACACGGCCCAGAGGCCUACGGGAGGCAGCAGUAGGGAAUCUGCGGCAAUGGACGGAAGUCUGACCGAGCAACGCCGCGUGAGUGAAGAAGGUUUUCGGAUCGUAAAGCUCUGUUGUAAGAGAAGAACGAGUGUGAGAGUGGAAAGUUCACACUGUGACGGUAUCUGACCAGAAAGGGACGGCUAACUACGUG